rnacentral:rRNA from 1 species
GUUAGUUGCCAUCAGGUCAUGCUGGGGACUCUACAAAACUGCCCGCGUAAGCGUGGAGGAAGGUGGGGAUGACGUCAAAUCAGCACGGCCCUUACGUCCAGGGCUACACACGUGCUACAAUGGCCGGUACAGAGGGCAGCCACUUGGUGACAAGGAGCAAAUCUCAAAAGCCGGUCUCAGUUCGGAUCGGAGUCUGCAACUCGACUCCGUGAAGUUGGAUUCGCUAAGUAAUCGCCGGAUCAGCCAAGCCGCGGUGAAUACGUUCCCGGGCCUU